CAUUGGCUUUAUUUAUGUGGCUGUAGCAUUAGAUACCAGGACAAAAAGAACCUGGCUCACCAUGUUUUCUGAUGUAUUUAGACAUUUGACUUCAUCAAGAUCAUUAGAUCAAGCCAAAGAAUAAUAUCAGCAUCUCUUAAUUCAAAUUGCUUUUAUUGGGACUCAAAAGACUUGACAUCUACAUAAUUGAGCUAAAGCACAUUGAUCACUUGAUUAUUGUUGACUUAUUGUAAUACUUUUUCAAGUUGGUAGUAAUAAAAAGCCCUCAAAAGCUUGUGGGUGAUGAUGGUGGUUGUAUAAUAGGUCCACACAUUUAUUAGUGCAUGUCAUUCAUAUAACUAUUUGUAUUGCUAGUGAUGAAGGGCACCGAAGCGUUUUUCAUAGGGGCAGAGAAGUGGACCACACGUUGAUUAGUGGGCAAUAUAAUAGUUAGCCAUAGGAGAGGCUGCAAACCGCAUCCUGCUACACAACUUCUCAUAUUCGUAAUAAUUUCUCACUUUUUAAUCCCUUCUUGAAUCAAAAUAAACGGAUUUUAAGAUUGUCAAUGGAAGUGCAAUUUCCAAUGUGAAGCAUGGAUUCCCUGACCCAAAUUUGUUUGUUUGUUAUGAACUUUACUGUAUCAGCAAUGCAUGGAAAGAAUGAUUAUAGUAAUUGUUAUUAAGUUUUAAUUUCAAAUUAGUUGGGUCACCUGUAUGAAUAAGACAUAAAUUCUCUUUUGUUCUUUCCCCCUGACUCUAAGGGGGGGGUGGAAGAAGUAAGCAAGGCUGCAGGAGUUGAACUCCUAACCAUCUGCACUAUGAGGCGGGCAAGAAUAUGCAGCUAUUUAUUUUUGUUUUUCUUUUAUAGGUGUAAGUUAACAUACCCAAAGAAAAAUACCAACUAUCAGGCUUUUCUUUAAUCAAUUGGCAGGGAAAGCAAAUAAUAAUAGAUAUGUUAUUAUAUGAACAAUCUAUCCAGUUUUGGACAAAAUUUCUUAUUUCUUUA
rnacentral:misc_RNA from 1 species